GCAGAAGUAGCUCAGCGGUAGAAUACAACCUUGCCAAGGUUGGGGUCGCGGGUUCGAAUCCCGUCUUCUGCUCCA
rnacentral:tRNA from 1 species